rnacentral:rRNA from 1 species
ACAGCGCGGACGGGUGAGUAAUGCCUAGGAAUCUGCCUGAUAGUGGGGGUAAGUCCCGCAACGAGAGCGCUAAUACCGCAUACGUCCUACGGGAGAAAGCAGGGGUAAGUCCCGCAACGAGAUAUCAGAUGUUUUUAUUUCUGAUUUUCUAGCUCUGGUGGAGCGUAAUGGCUCACCAAGGCGACGAUCCGUUUCUGGUCUGAGAGGAUGAUCAGUCACAUCUGGAACUGAGACACGGUCCAGACUCCUACGGGAGGCAGCAGUGGGGAAUAUUGGACAUUGGGCGAAAGCCUGAUCCACCCAUGCCGCGUGUGUGAAGAAGGUCUUCGGAUUGUAAAGCACUUUAAGUUGGGAGGAAGGGCUGUAGAUUAAUACUUUGCUGUUUUGACGUUACCGACAGAAUAAGCACCGGCUAACUCUGUGCCAGCAGCCGCGGUAAUACAGAGGGUGCAAGCGUUAAUCGGAAUUACUGGGCGUAAAGCGCGCGUAGGUGGYUUGUUAAGUUGGAUGUGAAAUCCCCGGGCUCAACCUGGGAACUGCAUCCAAAACUGGCAAGCUAGAGUAUGGUAGAGGGUGGUGGAAUUUCCUGUGUAGCGGUGAAAUGCGUAGAUAUAGGAAGGAACACCAGUGGCGAAGGCGACCACCUGGACUGAUACUGACACUGAGGUGCGAAAGCGUGGGAGCAAACAGGAUUAGAUACCCUGGUAGUCCACGCCGAAAGCGAUGUCAACUAGCCGUUGGGAGCCUUGAGCUCUUAGUGGCGCAGCUAACGCAUUAAGUUGACCGCCUGGGGAGUACGGCCGCAAGGUUAAAACUCAAAUGAAUUGACGGGGGCUCCUAGGCCUAACAGCAUGCAAUCGAGCGGAUGAGAGGCCCUCCUCCCGGCUCAGCCUAGGCCUAACACAUGCAAGUCGAGCGGAUGAAAGGAGCUUGCUCCUGGAUA